AAGGAAUCACUGACCCUUUAGUAGCAUGUGUUUCAAAUACGCUGUGGCAUUAAGCAUCUUCCAAACACAGCCACAGACUAGCUUUCCCACCUAGUUUUCUUCUUGCUUUUCUUACCCUAUGACUGUGGCAGCUGUCAGUGGAGCUCACUGCUGACAUUGAACCUGGUGUCUCCAUUUACCUGCAGGCUCCCGGUAGUGGUCCUCCAGUGUCAGGCAUCGUAUUUUUAUGUCCCAGCUCCAAAUGGGAGUAUUAGUGGACUCUAAAUACCUAAUUCCUUUAAAUCUAACCCCUCCUCUCAUACUGAAGUCUUUGGGAAUUUUUAGAAUCUCUGUACCUAUUGUAUUCAACCUGUUCUGAAAAGUAGCAUUCUGUUCUUCUGUAGUGUGUAACGCAUCUGUGUUAUUAGGGGUAAUUUCUGGGCUCUAGAGACCGUGGACUCCAGCACCUCUGCACUUAGAACUGCUUUGUUCAGAUCAGAUGGAGGAGGUAAAACAGAACGUGGAUGUCCUAUUUGACAUUGACAGCAAAUGCAUGUAGGGUAAGUGAAAAGAUCAGUAGCCAUAUUUUGGAGAAAAUCAGUAAAUUCUUCUUUUGUACUGCCUUCAAUGUGUUUAGCAUAGAUUUCUUAUGUCUGCUCUAAAGGUAGUGUUCUGUUCUUCAUCUUUUCCUCAUUUGGCUGUGCGAAGACAUUUAUUGAGAAACAGCAGUGCCUUUUAACUGAAUUGAAGUGUAUUACACAUUAUGGUAUGACCUUUGGAUAACUACUCUGCUAGCUUUUUUCAAUAUGAAAUUAAGUUGUAUUUUAGUGGCUUUAUUUUUAUGGUGGUAAUGUACCAAAGAGCUUGACUUUCCGUAUCGUAACUGCAGUGGAUAUAAUCGGAGAUGGUACUGUUAGCGGAAGGGAACUCUCUGUGUUCCAAGUUAGCUGCAAAAGUAAGGUGAUGGUUCUAAUUCCCUCUCUGCAGAAUCUGUCUUCAUUGCUCUGUUUGUUCAAGUAGUGUAAUGCAUUCAGAGAGAUGAGCAAACCCUUGGCAGGGCAGACUUCUUAUGCUGCAUGUCUCAUUCCAAUUAAGAGGAGGCAAGUAUCCAUCAAAAGACUGGGAAAUCAUUAUUAAACUUUUCAUAAUUUGAGAGCAUGGUAGAAUUGUUAAUGUGGUGAAAAAAUGCAGGAAACGGUCAUUGGUCACAGAAUACAUUUUAAUGGCUUUAACACCUUGCAUUUUGCUUGAACUCUAUUGUAAUAAUAGAGACUUAGGGUCAGGUUAAAGUGAUCAGCGUCAGAAUGCCGGUUACUUUCAGGUCUGUAUUAGAAUUCCAUACAAGCAUCUUCAAGCAAACUGUUGCCAGUUGUGUGUCUGACCCUUAAACACUGAUAAUUGAGAACUGUUUGACCAGACUCAGCUGUGAUGUUCUGUGAAGGUGAUACACACGGUGUACAGGGCUUUGAAUAGCAAAAUCAUAUUUCCCUUGUUUAAAAAAGAAGAGAUUUAAUGUAGGAAAUUGAAGCAGCAUAAACAGUUAUAAAAUUACCUCGAGACUGAAGAUGUUGAGAUGAAAACAGUGAGAUAACUCACUGCUCGACUCACUCUUUUUUUUAAUCUUGGAGAAUGCAGUUGUAGUAUUCUGCUUACAUUUCAUGCCAUGUCAGCUGAUCCGUACCAUGCUGAGCUCAUGCUGAACCAUUCAGCCGGGUGAUGCUAGUCCAUAUCAAAACCGACCUCUGAGAUGAAAGCAAGCUGCUAUUUCUGACAAUAAACCAAGUAAUUGCCAUAGCAUCUGUUCAGGGUAUAGACAGUAACCUGCCUUUGAAAGCAUCUUUACUGGUUUCCUUGUCUCUUUGAUUGUAAGAAUCCCGUUUUAACUUCAAAUCUAGCCUGAAUUCUUGCUUUGGUAAUUUAUGAAUCUUUACUGUUCUGAUAUUCUCUGCUAUGUCACUGUGCUGUCACUGGGACUAGAACCAUUUGGCCAUGGAUAGCUUGCGUUACUGGAGGUGAACUGCUGAUAGAAAGAAGAUUAAUCGGUGCUUUUCUUUUAAGAGACUUCACCACUACUUCCUCUAACUUGAGAAAUAAGCCUUUCCUACAGUCUCAAUUUUGGCAAAGGGAAGCACCUAUGCUGUGAAGUGCUCCAAGAAAAACCGUUGGGUUUGUGUCCAGCCCAUAGGAAGUGGGAAAGAAGCCCAGCCUUCAUCGGUGUGGCGACUUCAGAACUGGGAAUGUUCAGACCAAAUAAUUUGAGAACAAGUUUUGUAGUUGCCUUGGCUGCGUAAUGAGGAGAUCUGGAUUGUUUCACAGCAGAGAUCUCAUUUCAAAUUCUGUGAAAACAGGAGGAAUUUUCUGGCUGCUGUUUUCUGUCAUGGUUCCGAUGUUCAUGAAUUGAUUAAUGGGAGCAUGUGAGUCUCUAAUGGAUCUUUUUGGUCUGAGAAUGUUUUUAAGUAGCUAACCACGUAAUAGAUGAGCAAAGCAGUAAUCAGACCUGUGCCCAUUAAAUGGACACAGUGCAAAUUAGCAGUUCUGAUGGCAAAUAUGCUAGAAUCUCAGAUGUAACAGCUGUCACCUCAGGUAAUUGCUGUGACGUGGUAACUAAUGGCCUGUUGAAUGCCGAUGAACUCCUCGCAACGUUUCCUGUAGUUUUCUCGGGCAGGGGAGAUGAUGGGAAUGAAAAGUGUCACUUCCAUUACCAGGGUAGAGAAUCUCCCCCCAUGU
ensembl:lncRNA